AGUGAACGCUGGCGGUAGGCCUAACACAUGCAAGUCGAACGGCAGCACAGUAAGAGCUUGCUCUUACGGGUGGCGAGUGGCGGACGGGUGAGGAAUACAUCGGAAUCUACUUUUUCGUGGGGGAUAACGGAGGGAAACUUACGCUAAUACCGCAUACGACCUACGGGUUAAAGCAGUGGAUCUUCGGACCUUGCGCGAUUGAAUGAGCCGAUGUCGGAUUAGCUAGUUGGCGAGGUAAAGGCCCACCAAGGCGACGAUCCGUAGCUGGUCUGAGAGGAUGAUCAGCCACACUGGAACUGAGACACGGUCCAGACUCCUACGGGAGGCAGCAGUGGGGAAUAUUGGACAAUGGGCGCAAGCCUGAUCCAGCCAUACCGCGUGGGUGAAGAAGGCCUUCGGGUUGUAAAGCCCUUUUGUUGGGAAAGAAAAGCAGCAGGUUAAUACCCCGCUGUUCUGACGGUACCCAAAGAGUAAGCACCGGCUAACUUCGUG
rnacentral:rRNA from 1 species